CAAGGAAUUUUCCCCAAUGGGCGCAAGCCUGAGGGAGCAACGCCGCGUGCAGGACGACGGCCUUCGGGUUGUAAACUGCUUUUGCGUGGGACGAUAACGACGGUACCACGCGAAUCAGCCCCGGCUAACUCUGUGCCAGCAGCCGCGGUAAUACAGAGGGGGCAAGCGUUGUCCGGACUUACUGGGCGUAAAGCGCACGCAGGUGGUAACGCAAGUGGGGUGUGAAAGCCGCCAGCUCAACUGGCGGAGGCCAUCCCAAACUGCGUCACUUGAGGCCUGUAGAGGUAUGUGGAAUUGCCGGUGUAGUGGUGAAAUGCGUAGAGAUCGGCAGGAACACCCAGGGGGAAGCCAGCAUACUGGACAGGUCCUGACACUCAGGUGCGACAGCGUGGGGAGCGAACCGGAUUAGAUACCCCCGUAGUCC
rnacentral:rRNA from 1 species